CAAUCAUCGUCCACUUGCGACUGGCCACCAGCGAUGCCAAGCCUCAUCCUCCACAAUGCGCCGUCCAUCAGACAUCCUCUCCCGCUGGCCGUCUCUCCCCUCGGCGCGACGUCUCCUUCGCACGUCCGCUUCGCCAAACCGCUUGGCGAACCUCGUCCGCUCGCCUUCCCGGCCGCCGCGGGCGCGAGGGCGGCUGCGGCGGUGAAGUGCAUGGCGAACCCGAGGAGGGUGAAGAUGGUGGCGAAGCAGAUAAGGAGGGAGCUCUCCGACAUGUUGCUCACGGACAAGGUGUUGCAGUACGCGAUUCUGCCCGAGGCCGCGCUGGGAGCUGAUCGCUACCUGUCGUCGCUCACUACCAUCAGCGACGUCGAGGUCUCUUCCGAUUUGCAGGUGGUUAAAGUGUAUGUAUCAGUCUUUGGUGACGAAAGAGGAAGAGAGAUUGCAAUUGCUGGGUUGAAAUCAAAAGCUAAAUAUGUUCGUAGUGAGCUGGGAAGACGUAUGAAGUUACGUCUCACUCCUGAAAUACGUUUCAUAGAAGAUGAAUCUCUAGAAAGGGGAAGCAGGGUUAUCGCUAUACUAGAUAAAUUAAAGGCGGAGAAAAAGACAGCAAAAGGUCAGGAUGAAGAGCGAGUUGAGGCAUCGGAUGAUCCUCAAGAUGAUGGAGAUUGGGAAGGCAACGACCCCGAUGGAGACAUUAUUUAUGUGGAGUAGGUCUAACUCUGCAUAUCAGCGGCACUAUGUUGAUGGACUGGGCAUACUGCGGCUUCACUGGUUUAAGGCGGUAACAGUAACAGCUCCUUGUGCAGGAAAGGAGGUUUUAUAACAUCAUCUGGACUUGAAAUAUAUCCUGCUGAUCUUCCGUGCAGCCCUCACAGUUUUGUCCUAGCAUUCGCUGACCACACGCCAUGGCAAGCUAUAUUAAGCUUGUACUUUAUGUGUCUGAGCAUGUUGCCCUAACCUCUGAGGAGCGGAUAGCAACCUUAAAGAAGGCAAGAACCUGAUUUGAAUCCCACCCGUUGAGAAUGGCCUGUACUGAAAAUUCAAUUCAUGUAUAACCAAUCGUUUUAUGUGGUGAGGAGAAACCAAAUUAUAUUGAAGCAUUGGGAUAUACGCCUUUUGUUUU